CGGGCGGUGGCGCAGCUUGGUAGCGCACUACCUUGGGGUGGUAGGGGUCGCACGUUCAAAUCGUGUCCGCCCGACCA
rnacentral:tRNA from 1 species